rnacentral:rRNA from 1 species
CAGUCGCCGCGGUAAUACGUAGGUGGCGAGCGUUGUCCGGAAUUAUUGGGCGUAAAGGGAGCGCAGGCGGGCGAGUAAGUCUUUCUUAAAAGUGCGGGGCUCAACCCCGUGAGGGGAGAGAAACUACUCAUCUUGAGUGCAGGAGAGGAAAGCGGAAUUCCUAGUGUAGCGGUGAAAUGCGUAGAUAUUAGGAAGAACACCAGUGGCGAAGGCGGCUUUCUGGACUGUAACUGACGCUGAGGCUCGAAAGCCAGGGGAGCGAGCGGGAUUAGAUACCCCCGUAGUCCCUGUCUCUUAUACA